rnacentral:precursor_RNA from 10 species
GAGUGCAGAGCUAUUAUGAGAGUUCAGAUAAGGCAAGAUGUUGGCAUAGCUGAUUAUAUUCAAUGACGUCAGCUCUGCCACACGAUGCCACCUUUGGACUCCUUCAUACAACGAGCCUCGCC